UCGACUGUUUACCAAAAACAUAGCCCCGUGAAUACCCUUACGAGGUGCUACCUGCUCAAUGAUUACUAAUAACAAACAUAAAUAACAAUAAUUAAAUAGCCGCGGUAACUCUGACCGUGAUAAAGUAGCAUAAUCACUUGUCAUUUAAUUGGUGACUGGAAUGAAUGGUUUAACGAAUCUCUAACUGUCUCGGUUGAAAAUAUUAACAAAUUUAAAAUAACAGUGAAGAUGCUGUUGUUAAAUUGUAAGACGAAAAGACCCUAUUGAGCUUUACUGGACAAUCUGCAGAAAAUAAUAAUUCGUGAAACAUCACAGACAUCACAUAUCUUGCAGAUAAGACAGUUUGGUUGGGGCGACCACCUCUAAAACAGUAACAGAGGUAAUCUAAAGGUAUUAACUUAAUGGUAAUAACUUAACUGCAAUAACUAUAAUUUAACCAGAUAUACAACGUAGGACAUAAUGACCCGUUAAGAUUAACGACCAAUCUUAACGAUAAUAAAAUAAGUUACCAUAGGGAUAACAGGGUAAUAAUUUCAGAGAGUUCAAAUCGACGAAAUUGUUUGCCACCUCGAUGUUGAAUUAUGAUAACCUGGAGGUGUAGCAGCUUCCAAGGGUCAGUCUGUUCGACUGCAAAGAUCUUACAUGAUUUGAGUUCAUUCCGU
rnacentral:rRNA from 1 species